UACGGGGGGAGCAAGCGUUGUUCGGAUUUACUGGGCGUAAAGGGCGCGUAAGCGGCCACCGCAAGUCGACUGUGAAAUCUCCGGGCUUAACCCGGAAAGGUCAGCCGAUACUGCGGGGCUAGAGUGCAGAAGGGGCAACUGGAAUUCUCGGUGUAGCGGUGAAAUGCGUAGAUAUCGAGAGGAACACCUGCGGCGAAGGCGGGUUGCUGGGCUGACACUGACGCUGAGGCGCGAAAGCUAGGGGAGCGAACGGG
rnacentral:rRNA from 1 species